GGUUUUUGAAUCCACACUGCAUAAAUAUUUUUGCUGAUCCGAAUAUUUUUUGUUGGCACAUUUAACGGUAUAGGAAUAGCUUUCCCACUGGAAGCACACUUAUAACCAUAAUCAAGGUCUUGGCUGUAGCAUCUUUCAACAACUGCAGGAGUGCAAGAAAUGCAGUUGCAAGAGUGGCUUGUAGCCUAACUAUGCAACCAAAAGGCUCAACUGAUUGUCUAAUUAAAGUUUCUUAGCAGAGCAUUAACCAACAAACAUGCUCAUCCAGUACUAGAGUGCACCUUAGAACAGAUAGAACGGUAAAAAUAGUCUUCGGAGUCCGUUUCAGUUUUAAUAUUUGCUUUUACAGUCAUAUUUUGUUCCAUUUGCGAGAAGGAAUGCUAUGUUGGUUGCUUGAGGGACCAUGUGCAUCAUGUGUGAUAUGAGGGAAUUACCAAAGGUGUGAUGGCUUUGCAACGAUGACUACUGUAUACUCAUUUGAAUUGCGGGCUAUCAGUAUGGCCUAGCUUCAAUAGGGAUAUAAAUGUUGUAAUGUUUGUAAUUGAAGUACAUCCCUGAGAGACAGAGUUUGCAGCUGAUUGUUCGAUUGUGAUUUCUGAUAAUCUUGAGGUUAUUGAAGGAACGCGUUGGUCGUAUGUUUGAUAGUUAGGAUGGAUUGAUGCUUUUCUGAGCACCGUAGUCAAUGCCCUACGUUGAUAGUGAAGGUGCCAGCUUCAACGUUGAUUCUCACACUGCCGCAAAAGAUUAUUUCAUAUGUUGGUCCCGUGGUUUAAUGUAUUCUAAUUCAGUGUUUUUAUAUUUGAAUUGGCGGGUUCGAGUCUUCGUUUUAGUCUCGUUUCUUUUUGAUAUGUAUACUGUAAAGUUUUGGUGUUAUGCCAUUAAUAAAGUGAAACUUUCUAGC